rnacentral:lncRNA from 1 species
AAAACUUGAAUUUUCAAUGAACAAUUGAAUAAAAAAUGUCAAUUAUUAAGCAGAGCUCAAAUCUUAGAAUGUGGAGUUCCCUUCUGGCUUGUGUAGGAACUGUUUUAUUUCAGAAUAAAAAUUCUGCAAGACAGUUAAACAUUUUAAGAUAAAUUUUCUCCUUUACAUGAGUGAGCAAACUAUACAUUUUGCUUUUUGUGGGGUGCAUGAGUGUAAUGUGUUCUUGCAACGUCCAUUAAAAUAAGGUAGAGAAGACAGCACGCUUGUAUGCUCCUGACAAGCUUUUAAAACUAAACUCUACAUUGGUGGUAGGUGGAGAAAACAAUUACAUCUUGUGGAGUGAAUCACAAGUAAUUCUGGAGUUGUGGGUCAGACUGAAAUCCCAUGGAACUUGUAGCCUGCAAGUAACAAAUUGUAUUAAUGCCAAGGAAGCAGCUAUUUGUGCAGAAGUGCAAGAGAUCAACAGUGCUUGGCUGAUGCACCUUGCUAAAUAUCUUACAAGGUGUGGGGAUGUUCUGUGUUCCAGGCCAUUUCACCAGCUCCAUCUCCUGAUAAGCUUGCUAACAUCUGUUCUCAAGCUGACAUUUAUUUUAUUUCCUAUGCUAUCCUUGAGGUAA